UCAGAUGUAUUCGAAAAAGUGCUCAUAUUUUUUCUUCUUUUUCCUGUUUGCAUUAAAUGCAAGCUUUUGGACGUAAACGUUGAGCUGCAUCGUUAUGCGAUGAAAUAGCGUAAAAGCGGACUUAAGUUUCUAAGUUCGUUACUGCGUGUGUGUUUGUGUGUGUAUGUUCAUCAAAUGUGCGAGACAAAAUGCAUGAAAGUUUUAAAUGAAAAUUGCAAAUGAUACGCCGACGAAGUUCUCGUACUUAGUAUAAGAAUAAAUUUCUUUUAGCGUUCUUCCAGGCUUUUUAGUCAUUUGUACUUUUUCUGCAUCUUUAAUUAAAGAUUACAGGAGAAAAACAAGAUAAGUGAAAUUUCCUACCUUUCACAGGGAAGCCGUUCUAAAAUCCAAUAGCUUAACCAAUCAAUCUUACACUAUCGAAAUUGUCUUUUUAUUUGGCUUUAGAGCUAAACAUAUGUUCCUCAGAAAAUGAAGAAAAAUGUGCUCAUAGUGUUUUUUCCCUGUGUUAUUCUAUUAAUAAGAAAUACAAAUGAAAUGAUAUUUAGCUGUACGAAUCAGACCGUACAGAUACAAUUCUCCAGGUUGUAACCGGUGGUGAUUGGGAAACAUUUUUUUUUCCAAUAUUCUCAUUCUCUUUGUGUGUAACCAAUGAGAGAGAAGUCUCAGGCCGCGAAAACUCAUCCGUUGUGGCACUUCGAUUUUUCCCCGACCCCGUGAUAACUUUUUCCCGCAAACCAUACGGAAAUAUCCGCCGCGAACGCGUGGCAAGCCACGAGGUGAAUGACAGUUGCGGACAGUUCGUACACAAGCACGUUCCACUGACCCUGGGUUGAAACGAUUCGAACGAGCUCGGAAACAACCGACCCUUGCUUGCACGUGCUCUCUCUCCCGUGGACUUUCUGUACUUUUGGUCGACGCUGUUCCCCGACUAGAACUGUCCGAAGAAAGCCGCACACCGUUCACGGAGAUAUUAGGAUAAGUUUCAUUCAUACAAACUUUGGAACAAAUCUCGACCUUCGGAAACCGUGACGGUGCGAAGUCUACGAGCGGCGUUCGGACUCAAGCAAACUGAAUUUAAUUUCCAUUAAACUCGCAAGUUUAUUAUAUGGAUGAAGAAUUUCUUCCAGGUUAACGAGUUUAAAUGUCCUGAUAAAAUUUUGCUCUUUUGAUAAUAAAUUGUAAGGCCGUGAUUUCUCAUUUGUUUCGUUGUGUUUCAUGAUACACAAGACUUAGCCUAUGAUAUACUUAACGAGAACAAAGUUAGAUCUAUGUGAAGGGCGCAUAGAGGAAUAUUUCAGUUUUUGUUGAUCUUUUAAUUUUCAUGUUAUUUGUUAGCUAUGAUAGUUGGAAAGGGAACAACUUGUUACAUUCCAAGAUAUAUACAAAUCUUUUAAAAAUAGAUGAACAGAUUAUUGAAUUUAAAAAUUGCUUAUCAUAUUUAUCUCUGUGAUGAUCACAUGUAACGUUAGCUCAAAAUCGAGGAAGAAAACAAAAUUGUGAAUAGGAUAGUUUUGGUAAUAUGGCUCUAAUUACUGAAUUCUAGGAUUGUUCCUUUAUUUGUAAAGAUAAGGUAUAAUUGUGCAAAGAAAUAAGAUUGCGAAUAGGAUAGUAUAAAGACCAUAACUCAGAACAUCAGGAGAUCCGAACACAAAGGGAAACUUUCGAAAAUAUCGGCGAAAAGUUUGAAAAGUAUCGCGACUGUUCGUGGAUUGUUCGCAGCUGUUCCUAAGUGGACUCGGAAGCUUCGGAGUUCAUGGCACACAGAAACAAGUUGGAUCUGCGGAAAGGCACGAAGGGAAGGCCAGAAGAGCAAGUUCGUGGUUGGCUGGAGCGGGGUGGCAUGAGGAGGUAGAUGAGAACGAAGCACGGAGGGAGAAGCCACGUACGAAAGAGAGAGGGAGAAUAGGUCGAUACGGUAAACUAUUGUCUGGUGGGUGAAGUGUUCACGAGAACUGGGCGGAAGACAGCUUUGCGCUGGUUACGUGCAUUCUCUGCUUCGCAUGAAACGCGAAGAUAUGACAUGCUCGUCACCGCAACGAUGUUCAAGCGCGUCCAAGAAACCCCGCACCUCCAUCUACGCCCGCGUAACCUUUUGCGCCUGGUCCCUCGAUCGAUACUGGUGCACGAAUCGAAUCGUUCUACGCGUUAUUACCGACCGAGAAUACGCUGCAAUAUUGUCCGUGAUUUAAUUCGUUUUGUCUUCUAUUUUCUCUAAAGGGCUAUUUCUCAUGAUUUAAUUAUCCCAUUUUAUUGAUCGUUAAAUCUCAGUAACGUCCUACGUACGUAUUUUUAUAAAAAUUGGUGCUGCAUUGCAAGAAUAAAAGUGAAAUAAAAAUUGGUUUUUAAAAUGGAAACGUGAUAUUUCUACGCAGUACUAUUGCAGAUAUGUUUUGAUUGAAGAUUUGAUAUUUACCUGAAGAGUGGUUAACAGCGAAAAACAGUUUCAUUUCUUCUAAUAAAUUAAAUCGACGCACUUAAAAUUAGUAUCGUUUAUCCUACACUUUUAAUUUAUUGAAAGAAUUUUUUCUAUUUUUCCAAAGUCCAGAAUCUUUUAAAUAAUAUAUCAAAUCAAAAUACUAGCUACGUAUAUAGAUAUUUUGUUGUGUUUAAUAAUCAAAGAAAUUUCCGUAUUUGUUCCCUAAUAAGGAAACAAUUAGAUCGCCCCUACUUAAUUUAUGAAGGUUCGAUAGCGUGCAGCGACGCCCUCUACAAUCGAAUCGUUUGGCGGGAGUAUCGAAGAAAUUGCGAUAAUCGCAGUACAAAAUUCGUUAUGAAACUAAUUUGUGCAAGUAUACUACGUACACAAAGGCAGUUUGGCGUGCAGCAGUGCGCAACAAUCCUACAUCGAAGUGUGUUUGCCGAUUGUCAUCGGGGGAUGGAGAGGUACAUUGGCAGCAACGCUGAUGUGGGUUUCGAUCGUGAAACCACUGUCUAAAUAUGGAAUAAACCUGAUAUUAUAUGGAUUUUCGUAUUUCGCGUUCUGAAAUAUCUAUCUCGAAAGAGACUGGAUUAUUUCUUACGAUCUGUGCGACUCAUAUUUAUAUGUGAAGCAUAUUUAAUUCAAUCAUCGAGAACAAUAAAAGUGGACUUGGCACCUUACGGAACAUCGCGUCACAUGUUCUGUAAUACCGACCAUUCAGAGGUUUUAUUACGCCCUCUACAAUUUAUAACGUUGGGUAGAGUGUAAUUAGUCCGUUUGUCCAUAUAUUUAAACGAAAUUUUAAUUAGUGGGCAAUUAAAUAAAUUUCUUCUAAUUGGAUUGAUUUAUCUGAACUUGAAUGUCUACUAUGAACGAGAAAUCGUAAGUAAUAAGGAGAACCAGUAAGCUCGUAUUAUAUGGACUUCAGUUAUAUGAACUACUUGUCCUGCAGCAGAUUCAAAUAAACGGAAUGUCGGAAUAUUUUAUACUCAAUACAAACACGAAAAUGAAUAAAAUUAGAGAUAUUGACAAUGUACUGUGGUUAUCGGUGGACAAAAUAAACGUAACAUGAAAUACUUUCUUGUAUCCCACAAUUUAAAGGUUUGUAUGUAAUUAUGAAAUCGUACAUUAUUGUUGUAGAGAAUAUAAAGAAUUCUAUCCAUCUAUAUGAUACGCGUUCAUAAUAGCAUUUGCACAGAUUGAAUUAACGGUAGAUUAAAAUAGUAAUUUUGUACUUGAUAGAAGAUGCUUCAAUGCUGUGUACUUUGUAUGUAAUAAGACCAUGUGAAACUAACCUUUAUGCCGACCACCGAUAAUUAACAUUCGAAUUAAAUGCGGAAGUUAACUAAUAAAUUCAUGCUUUACGAAAAAAAAAUUUGUUACGAUUGAAUCUUCUACUGAAUGUGAUAUGUAAAUCUUCGUUCUAAUCUCUUAUGUAAAUUUGAAUCUAUUAAUGAAACGAUCUGAUGAUUUUUGAAAACAUAAAUGCGUAAUUAAAAGGAUGGUAUUAUAAUUAUGCUCUUUUCUGUGGAAUUUGUGUAUAUAAUAUUGAAAUAGUAAAAUAUGAGAUAGUAAGGUUA